GUCUACCUUGCGAUCAGUUUAUUCACAACGAUCGUCGUGAUUAGACGUGCAAACCAAAACCGCUUCCAAUUAGUUAACAUUUCACUGGGUUCCACCGUUGCCAAGAAAGAAAGUCGUGAAGUUAUACGCAUGACUGACUCAAUCUUGUCGUGUAUACCUAAAUACAUACAUAGUACAGAGCAGUGUAUAUCAGUGAAAAAACUGUGUCUAAUUUUUGUGUAGUUCCUUCAUUAUUAAUUUUUGUUCCGUGAUAGAUAAGAAAUUAUCUAUAAAGUCGAAAAAGUGCUUCUAAGCUAACAGCUUUUUUGUGUUUCCGGAAGAUUGAUACGUUCAAUUUAUCAUUUCGAAACUACGAAGUCACGCAGUCUGGCCGAUAUUUAGGUUAACGAAAAAAGAUUUUCUGGGACUUUGUUACCAGUGACUAUAAACUAAUUGGAAUUCGCCGGUCUGUUCUUGGUUAACAACCUUCAAAUACUCGUUGGGACUCAUCCUACUUUUCUCUGACUAUUACAGACAAAAGGCCUUAAGAGAACAAUAAGGCAGUUCGUGCAUCGUUUAAUAACUUCUAACCCAACAAAAA